CCCUUAGAUGUUCUGGGCUGCACGCGCGCUACACUGAAACUAUCAACACGUUUUCCCUCCCUGAGAAGGGCGGGUAACCUUUUGAAUCAGCUUCGUGGUAGGGAUCGGGGCUUGCAAUUGUUCCCCGUGAACCAGGAAUUCCUAGUAGACGCGAGUCAUAAGCUCGCAUCGAUUAAGUCCCUGCCCUUUGUACACACCGCCCGUCGCUACUACCGAUUGAACGUUUUAGUGAGGCAUUUGGACCGACGCAUCUCAGUUUAACCGCUGGUUUGUGUUGGAAAGACUUCCAAACUUGAGCGUUUAGAGGAAGUAAAAGUCGUAACA
rnacentral:rRNA from 1 species